GUGCCGCAAUGCCCAUUAGAGGGGUAACAGAGGACCUAAAUGCUAAAAUACACGUGAAAAUUAAGAAAUAGCGAAUUUUGAAUAAUGAAAUGGAUAUUUUGAAUAAUGGAAUGCACUGCUGCGACCCUUCAACCCCUAAUUACAGAUAUACAAUAUACGUCAUUCGAAAACUUAUCAAUAGAGGAACAAACGAUAUAUAGUCAAU
rnacentral:lncRNA from 1 species